AUUGAACGCUGGCGGCAGGCCUAACACAUGCAAGUCGAGCGGAGCGGCGGACGGGUGAGUAAUGCCUAGGAAUCUGCCUGGUAGUGGGGGAUAACGUCCGGAAACGGGCGCUCAUACCGCAUACUAUCAGAUGAGCCUAGGUCGGAUUAGCUAGUUGGUGGGGUAAAGUCCUACCAAGGCGACGAUCCGUAGCUGGUCUGAGAGGAUGAUCAGCCAACCUGGAACUGAGACCCGGUCCAGACUCCUAGGGGAGGCAGCAGUGGGGAAUAUUGGAAAAUGGGCACAAGCCUGAUCCAGCCAUACCGCGUGAGUGAAGAAGGCCUUCGGGAUGUAAAGCCCUUUUGUUGGGAAAGCGGUACCCAAAGAAUAUGCACCGGCUAACUUCGUGCCAGCAGCGGCGGUAAUAC
rnacentral:rRNA from 1 species